AGGAUGAAGUCAAGGACUUGGUCAAUAAGAAAAUGCUUCAAGUUGCAGAUCGUCUGAUAGCGCUGCAAGGAAUGCCUGAAGCAGAAACUUUAGCAAAAUUUCUGCUAGAACCUGGCAAAGGGAUGGGUAAGUAUCGAUUAGAGUUCCUUAGAAUAUGAAAUCACAAUUGUAGCAACAUUACAGUCCCUGUGAUGGAAGCAUUCAUAUUCUCUGUUCAACCUCAAUUAGCUACUUCUGUAAUUUUGAUACCAGUUCUACUGUCAUAGUUCAAUGCUAUGGCACUGUGGGAGUUGUAGCUUAAAGAGGCAUCAGUAAAGCUCUAUGAUUCUAUAGCAUUGAGCAAAGCCAGUUAAAAUGGUAACAAACUGCAUUAAUGCUGCAGCGUAGAUGCACCCUUAGAAUGUAUGGGGUAAAUCCAUUCUUAAACAAUUUGAAGGAGCAAUCCGCUACUUUUUAAAAAUCGUGUCAGAAGUGAAUUGAGGCAAGUCGCUUCUGGUUCGAAUCCAUGAGACAGGAUGAGCUCCUGUCUGUCAACCCUAGCUUUCCAUGCGGGGACAUGAGAGAAGCCCCUGCAGGAUGGUAACACAUCCGGGUGUCCCCUGGUCAACGUCUUUGAAUACGGCCGAUUCUCUCACACCAGAAGCCACUUGCCUCAAUCCACUACUUAUGGGUUAUCUAUCCUCUUGUGCCAAGCCGAUCAAGCAAGCUAAACCGUAAUACAUGUUACUCCUGUCAACCAACUGGAUUUACUUAAGUGUUGAUUUGCCAUCCAAACAAUUUAUUCAGUGGAUCUGUAGUGGUUGGGGCCAGCAGUUGUAUUCUUCUUACUAAUUUUAAAGGAAACAUUCUGUAAUUGUCCCAGAGAGAUGGAAAAUCUCACAAAGUUUCCCUUCUGUCUUUAGUGGAAGUAUAGCAGCAAAUAUAUCAUUUUAUUCAUUAUUAGCAUGUGACUCAAAACCUAUAAGUAAUUGUAUUUCCCCAUGAUUCUAAUCUUUCUAUUUGCCACUCAAAUCGAAGAAAUAUCAGAUAGACAGAGACUGCAAUUACUGGAUCAGCUGAUUAUUCCAGAUGGGCUAAUGCAAAUUGGUGAAACAGAUGAUGAGCAAACAGAAAAGAAAAGAAAAUUGUUUGGAAGUAUUGCAGCAACACUACAACUUUUGCAGGAAAUACAUGCUCCUGAAGAUUGCCAAUCAGAGGAAGAAAGGAAUGAGAUGGCAGAGAGAAGAAGAGUUUUAUUUCAAAAUCUGAAAUUAGACUUAGAAGAUCUUCGACAAGCACAGGCUAUGGAAGACUUUAAAGAAGACAUUGACAGGAAAAUCAGCGUAUUGUCAGAAAAGAGAAGCUUAUUGCUUGAAAGAUUAGAAUCAAAUAUGAUGGAGUUGAAAGAAGCGCAAGCUCUUGCAGCUAUUGAGCCAUCAGAAAUGAAUGAGUACAGAGUAAAAGAACUGUUACAGGAAAGGGAACAGCUGGAAGCAAAUCUAGAAGAAAAUCUAAAGGAUCUGCAUAAAAUAAGGACUCCUAAAGUUAGCUUAACAGAAAAUGCAAUGGAAAUGAGUGAGCUCACAAAACAAAGAAGCAUCCUGCUUGAAAAUUUAAAAUCAAAUUUGAACGAGUUAGAAGAAGCUGAAGCUCUUGCAGGUACCGAACCGGGCAGUGUGAGUGAUGAAAAGAUGAACGAGCUACGAGAGCAAAGCAGGCAUUUGACUGCACUUCUUGAAACAAAUGAACGAGAUCUGCAAAGGGCACAGGUUUAUGCUCCAGGACUUGCAGAGCAAGAAAGGGAAUUGUAUAAAAUGCAUAAACUAUCUGAAAAGAAACAAUUGUUGUUAGAAAAGUUGGAGUCCAAUCAGAAAGAGCUACAAGAAGCUCAGGAACUUGAGGCUAUCCAACCAGGGAGUAUCAGCGCACAUAAGCUGGAGGAGUUGUCUGAGCAAAGGAAGCAUUUGACUGCAGAACUAGAAGCAACAGUGGAUGACAUGCAAAAUGUGAUUCGUUAUGCGUCUGAAAAAGCUAUAUAUAUACCACCUAUUGAAAAGGAAUUGUCUAAAAUGCAUAAACUAUCUGAAAAGAAGCAACAAUUGUUAGAAAAGUUGGAGUCCAAUCAGAAAGAACUACAAGAAGCUCAGCAACUUGAAGCUACCCAGCCAGGCAGUGUCAGUGCACACAGACUGGAGGAGUUGUCAGAGCAAAGGAAACAUUUGACUGCAGAACUAGAGGCAACAAUGGAUGACAUACAAAAAAUACCUCGCUAUGCAUCAGAAAAAGCUAUAUUUAUAUCACCUGUUGGUAAGAGCAAGAUAAAGUAA
ensembl:lncRNA